rnacentral:rRNA from 1 species
UACGGAGGGUGCAAGCGUUAUCCGGCAUCAUUGGGUUUAAAGGGUCCGCAGGCGGAUUUAUAAGUCAGUGGUGAAAGCCCGUCGCUCAACGACGGAACUGCCAUUGAUACUGUAAGUCUUGAAUUCGAUCGAAGUGGGCGGAAUAUGACAUGUAGCGGUGAAAUGCUUAGAUAUGUCAUAGAACACCGAUAGCGAAGGCAGCUCACUAGGUCUGGAUUGACGCUCAGGGACGAAAGCGUGGGGAGCAAACAGG